GAUGAACGCUGGCGGCGUGCCUAAUACAUGCAAGUCGAGCGGACAGACGAGGUGCUUGCACCUCUGAAGUCAGCGGCGGACGGGUGAGUAACACGUGGGUAACCUACCUGUAAGACUGGGAUAACUUCGGGAAACCGGAGCUAAUACCGGAUAAUAUUUUCCACCUCAUGGUGGAAUAGUGAAAGACGGUUUUGCUGUCACUUACAGAUGGACCCGCGGCGCAUUAGCUAGUUGGUGAGGUAACGGCUCACCAAGGCGACGAUGCGUAGCCGACCUGAGAGGGUGAUCGGCCACACUGGGACUGAGACACGGCCCAG
rnacentral:rRNA from 1 species